UGCCUGUCUACAUUCUUCCUCAGUGGUCAAU
rnacentral:piRNA from 1 species